rnacentral:rRNA from 1 species
CAGGUUGAUUAAAAAGUCUGGUGUGAAAGGCAACUGCUUAACGGUUGUUUGCAUUGGAAACUGUUAAUCUAGAAUACAGUAGGGAGUUCUGGAAUUCAAUGUGGAGCGGUGAAAUGCGUAGAUAUCGGGAAGAACACCAGUGGCGAAGGCGCUCUGCUGGGCCAUCACUGACGCUCAUGGACGAAAGCCAGGGGAGCGAACGGGAUUAGAUACCCCUGUAGUCCUGGCCGUAAACGAUGAACACUAGGUGUCGGGGGAAUCGACCCCUCCGGUGUCGUAGCCAACGCGUUAAGUGUUCCGCCUGGGGAGUACGCACGCAAGUGUGAAACUCAAAGGAAUUGACGGUU